rnacentral:tRNA from 1 species
GCGUCUCAGUGGUAGAGCAUUUCCUUGGCAUGCAGAAGGUCCCUGGUUCAAUUCUUGGCAUCUCCA